GAUGAACGCUGGCGGCGUGCCUAAUACAUGCAAGUCGAGCGAACAGACGAGGAGUUUGCUCCUCUGACGUUAGCGGCGGACGGGUGAGUAACACGUGGAUAACCUACCUAUAAGACUGGGAUAACUUCGGGAAACCGGAUCUAAUACCGGAUAAUAUAUUGAACCGCAUGGUUCAAUAGUGAAAGACGGCUUUGCUGUCACUUAUAGAUGGAUCCGCGCCGCAUUAGCUAGUUGGUAAGGUAACGGCUUACCAAGGCAACGAUGCGUAGCCGACCUGAGAGGGUGAUCGGCCACACUGGAACUGAGACACGGUCCAGACUCCUACGGGAGGCAGCAGUAGGGAAUCUUCCGCAAUGGGCGAAAGCCUGACGGAGCAACGCCGCGUGUGUGAUGAAGGUCUUCGGAUCGUAAAACUCUGUUAUUAGGGAAGAACAAAUGUGUAAGUAACUAUGCACGUCUUGACGGUACCUAAUCAGAAAGCCACGGCUAACUACGUG
rnacentral:rRNA from 1 species